AAAGGAUUUGCUGGGAUAAUUAAUAACUAGGAUACAAAGAAAGGGAGGAGGAGGAGGUCUAAGAAAGAAGGCAAUGACAGUUAAGGAUCUGAAAAUAAUGAAUUUGUUUUUAAAUGUUUUUAACGGUUUGUGAUGUAUUUUUGUAUUUUUCUUUUUUUCUGUCACUUUUUCUUAUUUUGAAUUUUUACUCAUAUGGUGGGAAGGGGUUUGUUUUUGUUUGUUUUUUCUUCUUCUUCUACUUUGUCAACUAUUUUUAUUUUGUACUUUCUUCUGCUUCUAUUUUAUUUUUUAUUUUUUGUAACAUUUUGAAAAUUUCAAUAAAUAUCUUUAAAAAAAAAAAACAAACUGCGGGAAGCAGUGGAAGACAGGAGAGCCUGGCGUGCUCUGGUCCAUGGGGUCACAAAGAGUCGGACACGACUAAACGACUAAACAACAACAACAAGAACAUCAUCGGGAUUAUUGUAAUAAACUGCAGAGUCAUAGGAGUAUGUAUUUUAAGUAGAUGAGUAAAUGAACAAAUUACGUCAAUUUGGAUAUGAAGAAGAUGUUAAAAAUAAAUUUAAGGUAGUGCAGAAAGAGGAGGAAGGAAAUCGAGUUUUGAAAUGUUAAAAUGAUUGUAAAAUUAUUGAAAUGUAUAAACCUGAAAAUCGUAAAUAACUUUUAUUUUAUUUCUUUUUUAAAAGGGGGAAUUCAGCCAUUUGCGACUUCUUUGGAAACUGGAGUACUGGGAGCUAGCGACUGCAUAAUAAGGCAAGGAACACCCUGCUGGAUGUGACCAAAGACCAAUGUCGUCCAGCAUCCUGUUCUCCCACAGUCGGAAGCCCACAGACAGGACCUGAGUGCAGCAGUGCUCUCCAGUGACUCAGAGGCGUACUGCUGCCAGCAGUUGCAGUAGAACACAGCCAUCAUGAUGGCAAGGUGGUCUAAGAGGUAGAGAAGGUCCGGCAAGACCUUGGGAAGCUGCAGAGGUGCUGGAACUAGCUGGCCCACUCCCUGGCUGGAGGCUUCAAUUAUUGUCCAAAGUCAGCUUGACCAGCCUGAAUGCUGCUGAACAUACAGUUCCAGAAUUGCAAGCAUGAAAACUGCUGCGUUCCCCUAAUUUUUGCCCUGGCCCUUCAAGGGAUGGCUCCUGCUCUUGCCAGUCAGCUCUUCCAUCUCUCACCAUGGAGCCUCAUGCCCACAAUUAGGCAACCCUGCUUCUCAAGUUUGCAGCUUUUAUUUCCCUUCUCGCUCUCUUUGUUCCACCUCCUGUUGCGCUCCCUCCUGUCUCGGUGCAAUUUGCCACUGAUGAAUAGGGGAUUCUGUUCUUUCUGCUGACGCAGAUACAAAAAGAGCUCGGGCUUUUGAAAAAGAAAAGAAUCUUCAAUCCCAGUUUUAUCACAUCCUCAGCUUUCUUCACUAUGAAAAUGGGGGGGCGAGGAGAUAAAUAUGCAUGAGAAGGCAACAUUUCAGCAAUAAUAAUUCCAUUUAAACCAAAGCGUUUGUAGCUGCAGCAAAGGUAAAAAGCUAAUGCCAAUAUCCAGAGUCCAUCUUCAGCACCGUCUGCUGCAUCAUGAAUAAUGAGACAUUGCUGAGGUUCUUUUGAGGUAGCCACUCAAUGAUACACAAUGUACUUAAGUGGAAGCUUCUUUGGUGCUGCCAGAAUGGUUUGGAAGUUUCUGACUAUGGAUUCAUGAUAGCCAACGAGGUGCCCUCUAGAAUUGUUGAACUACAAUUCCCAUCAGCCCCAGUCAGUGUUGCUAAUGGUCAGGUAUGACAGGAGUUGUAGUCUAACAUGUUGGCUUUGUUGUUGUUUAGUCGUUUAGUCGUGUCCGACUCUUCGUGACCCCAUGGACCAGAGCACGCCAGGCACUUCUGUCCUCCACUGCCUCCCGCAGUUUGAUCAAACUCAUGCUGGUAGCUUCAAGAACACCAUCCAACCAUCUUAUUCUCCGUCGUCCCCUUCUCCUUGUGCCCUCCAUCUUUCCCAACAUCAGGGUCUUUUCCAGGGAGUCUUCUCUUCUCAUGAGGUGGCCAAAGUAUUGGAGCCUCAGCUUCAGGAUCUGUCCUUCCAGUGAGCACUCAGGGCUGAUUUCCUUCAGAAUGGAGAGGUUUGAUCUUCUUGCAGUCCAUGGGACUCUCAAGAGUCUCCUCCAGCACCAUAAUUCAAAAGCAUCAAUUCUUUGGCGAUCAGCCUUCUUUAUGGUCCAGCUCUCACUUCCAUACAUCACUACUGGGAAAACCAUGGCUUUUACUAUACGGACCUUUGUUGGCAAGGUGAUGUGUCUGCUUUUUAAGAUGUUGUCUAGGUUUGCCAUCGCCUUUCUCCCAAGGAGCAGGCGUCUUUUAAUUUCGUGACCGCUGCUUAAAGGUAAAUAUUGCCCGGAUGAAGAGACUGUUAAUCCAAAACAUAUUCCAUUAUAUCUCUCUCACCCCUGCAAUAAUCCUUUGCCAAGGCCUUUAGCCCCUCAGCAACUGAUUAUGUCAGAAGUCUGCAUGUGGCCUGGAGCAGCAGGCAGUGUACAAGCCAUGUUUAUCCACACACAGUCCUUGAAUGUGCAUACAUGUUAUGUACUGAGUUGAAUAGGAUCCAAAAGGCAGCAGUCUGAUUGGUCCUAGAACAACAGGAUUCAGAAUGCAGUGGUCUGAUUGGUCCUAGAACAACAGGAUUCAGAAUGCAGCAGUCUGAUUGGUCCUAGAACAAUAGGAUUCAGAAUACAGCAGUCUGAUUGGUCCUAGAACAACAGGAUUCAGAAUGCAGCAGUCUGAUUGGAGCCACCCAAUCCAGCUCCAGGUGGAAGUGAAUCCGCAACCUGAUUGGCCUACAGGUGAACCCUGGAAAUAGCCAAUCACGUGGGGCCCUUGUGUAAAUAAUGUAUAUAAAGCAGACAUUCUGGAGGAACUUCCAUUCAACCUCACCACUCUGAGCUGAAUAAAGAGCAUGAAAUCCA
rnacentral:lncRNA from 1 species